rnacentral:rRNA from 1 species
UACAGAGGUCUCAAGCGUUGUUCGGAUUCAUUGGGCGUAAAGGGUGUGUAGGUGGCGCGCUAAGUCGGGUGUGAAAUUUCGGAGCUUAACUCCGAAACUGCAUUCGAUACUGGCGUGCUUGAGGACUGGAGAGGAGACUGGAAUUCAUGGUGUAGCAGUGAAAUGCGUAGAGAUGUGGAGGAACACCAGUGGCGAAGGCGACUCUUUGGCCUGUAACUGACGCUGAGGCGCGAAAGCGUGGGGAGCAAACAGG